AUGUCUUCCUCAAGCUCCCGCGCCACCUCGCGGAUGCAGAGAAGGGCGCGUGUGGACAUGCCUGUCUUCGUCUGUCCGCGGUGCUGGGCGGGCGUUGAUCGGAGGGUUUCUCACACACCGAGGAAGCAGAAUCGUCCGUUCUAUGUGUGCAGCAAGAAUGGGGUGACAUGCUUCUUUCUUUGGGUCGAUGCUCUGGCCAAGACUCUGAUGAAUGAACUGCAAGAAGAGCAUGAAGAAUGGUUGCGCAUGCUGCCACGAACGGCAGUGGCCGCAGCACGAGCUCCGGAAGAAGAGAUGGAGGGCGAAGCAUGCACUGACAGAGAGCUAGCUGUUGAGCUUAGGAUGUUGAAGAAGAAGGUUAGGAAGCUUGAACAUCAAGCACAAAUACCAAUACCCAUUUGCAAUUACUUUUGGGCAUUUGUAGGUAUGGUAAUCGCAUUGGUUGUAAUGUUGAAAAUGUAUGGAAAGGCAUGA
rnacentral:rRNA from 1 species